rnacentral:rRNA from 1 species
AACGUAGGUGGCGAGCGUUAUCCGGAUUUACUGGGCGUAAAGGGUGUGCAGGCGGGCUGUUAAGGGGUGUAUGAAAUCGCCGGGCUCAACCGGGCGAGGUUAUGCCAGACUGGCAGUCUAGAGAGCGAGAGAGGGACGUGGAAUUCCGGGUGUAGUGGUGAAAUGCGUAGAGAUCCGGAGGAACCCCAGAGGCGAAGGCGGCGUCCUGGCUCGCAUCUGACGCUCAGACACGACAGCAUGGGGAGCGAACAGG